rfam:Ipomoea nil DNA, scaffold: scaffold3065, cultivar: Tokyo-kokei standard.
GUCACUAUGUCUGAGUGGUUAAGGAGAUAGACUUGAAAUCUAUUGGGCUUUGCCAGCGCAGGUUCAAGUCCUGCUUUUGACG